rnacentral:lncRNA from 1 species
GUGAUUUGGACGUGAAAUAGAAACGUGAAAUUUAAUAAUUUUUUUAGUUUAGGGCCAUUCCUGAUUAAGGACAAAGUACAGGACCCAGCGACCAAAAACCCUAGGACAACACUAGGUUUUGUUUAGUUUUAGGACAAAGUUCACAAGUAGUUCUGGAUUGAUACAAUCUAAACUUCGGUGUAGAUUUCUUCUUGUCGUUUUCAUCUAUGUUAAUUGUUUACUUCCGUUACCAUCUAUGGUGUAAAUCCAACUCAUAAUACUAGACCUAAUGAUAUAUCACGUACGUACUUACCUUGAUUUAAAAUCGGUAUCUGUAAACUGUCAUAAAUGAGUAGACUCUUAGCCACAAACAUUACAAAGAUCUAAAAAUUAUAUUUAAACGA